UACGUAGGUCGCAAGCGUUGUCCGGAUUUACUGGGCGUAAAGAGCGCGCAGGCGGUCGUAUAAGUCGAAUGUGAAAGCCCCCGGCUCAACUGGGGAGGGUCAUUCGAUACUGUUCGACUCGAAGGCAGGAGAGGGAAGUGGAAUUCCGGGUGUAGUGGUGAAAUGCGUAGAUAUCCGGAGGAACACCAGUGGCGAAGGCGACUUUCUGGCCUGUUCUUGACGCUGAGGCGCGAAAGCUAGGGGAGCAAACGGG
rnacentral:rRNA from 1 species